CCUACGGGCGGCUGCAGUGGGGAAUAUUGCACAAUGGGCGCAAGCCUGAUGCAGCCAUGCCGCGUGUGUGAAGAAGGCCUUCGGGUUGUAAAGCACUUUCAGCGGGGAGGAAGGCGGUGAGGUUAAUAACCUCAUCGAUUGACGUUACCCGCAGAAGAAGCACCGGCUAACUCCGUGCCAGCAGCCGCGGUAAUACGGAGGGUGCAAGCGUUAAUCGGAAUUACUGGGCGUAAAGCGCACGCAGGCGGUCUGUCAAGUCGGAUGUGAAAUUCCCGGGCUCAACCUGGGAACUGCAUUCGAAACUGGCAGGCUAGAGUCUUGUAGAGGGGGGUAGAAUUCCAGGUGUAGCGGUGAAAUGCGUAGAGAUCUGGAGGAAUACCGGUGGCGAAGGCGGCCCCCUGGACAAAGACUGACGCUCAGGUGCGAAAGCGUGGGGAGCAAACAGGAUUAGAUACCCUAGUAGUC
rnacentral:rRNA from 1 species